GAAGUGGCGAAAUUGGUAGACGCACCAGAUUUAGGUUCUGGCGCCGCGAGGCGUAAGAGUUCAAGUCUCUUCUUCCGCACCA
rnacentral:tRNA from 1 species